rnacentral:lncRNA from 1 species
GUGCUCCCGAAUGUUGGAAGUGCUUCCUGAUUCCUCCUAGGAGCAGGAGCCUCUAUGAUUCCUUUAAAGCCUGCAGAGCCAUGAGCCAGUUCAACAUCUUUUCUUUAUGAUCUUACAGAAAAUUAGUGCUCUGAAGUGGAGGUAUGAAAUGCCUUCAAGGUCUUUUCCUUCUUGUCUUGGUAAUCAGCUCUCAGCUUCUUUUCAUGCAAAUAUCUGUAGCCUGCAUGAAUUUUCCCCCCGUAAAUGGACUUUUCUUCUUUUACCACACUGACAGGCUGCAACAAAGAGAGCUGAAAAUGUAGAAGCAGGUUGAGAAUUGUGUAACAGCCAGAGGUUGGAGAGUUUGGAGGACUUGGAAGAAGACAGGAAGAUGAGGGAAAGUCUGGACCAUUGUAGAGACUUGUUAAAUAGUUAUAAUUAAAAGGGUGACAGAAGGAUGGACAGUAAAGGCCAGGCUUAGAAGGUCUCAGAUGAAAAUGACGAGUUUACUGGGAACAGGAGCCAAGGUUACAUUUGUUUUGCUUUAGCAAAGAAUGUCACUGCAUGAUGCCCCUAACCUGGAGAUCUGUGAAACUUUGAACUUGAGGGUGAUGUUUCGGGUGUAUCCAGCAGAAUGAACUUUUGGCAGCAAAGCUCAAGAGGUGUCCUGUCUGUGUCCUGGUCUUCUGUGUGACCAAAUAAAUGACCUCAGUUAGAAACAUAUUUAAAUGAGAAGCAGAGCUUAAAAGUUUGAAAAAUUUGCAGCCUGGUCAAGUGGUCAAAAAGAAAAGCUGAUUUUCAGUGGGAAAAUUCAAGACAGCUUCAGAAGCUUGCAUAAAAUGGAGCCCAGUGCUAAUAGCCAAGACAACAGGGAAAAGGCCUUGAAGGCAUUUCAGAGACCUUUGCAGCAGCCCUUGCUGUACAGGCCCUGAAGCCUAGGACAGAAGAAUGGUUUUCUAGGACAGAAUGGUUUCCUGGCCCAGCCCCAUGGUCCCCUGCUGUGUGUAGCCUCAGGACACUGCUGCCUACAUCCCUGUAGCUCCUGCUGCAGCCAUGGCUGAAAGAUGCACAGGUACAGCUUGGGUCACUGCUUCAGGGGUGCAAGCUCCAAGCCUUGGUGGCUUCCACAUAGUGUUAAGUCAGCAGGUGCACAGAGCACAAGACUAGAAACUUUGGAGUCUUCAUCUUCUAGACUCCAGAGUAUGUAUGGAAAAUCCUGGGUUUCCAGGCGAAGCUUUUCCAACAGACAGAGCCUCAUGGUAAACCUCUACAAGGAUGGUAUAGAAGGAACAUAUAUGGUGGGAGCCCCCACACUGGGAGGCACCAUUUUCCAGACCCCAGAUUCAUAGACCCACCAACAGCUUGCACCCUUAGUGUUAAAAAGCUGCUGGCACUCAACAGCAGCCCAGCCCAUGAGGGCAGCUUUGGGGAAAGACCUUGCCAUACCACAGGUGCUGAGCUGCCCAAGGCUUUGGGAGACCAGCCAUCAAACCACCCUCUGCUCUGGAUGUGGGAUGUAGAUUCAAAAAAUAUGACAUGGAGCUCUAUGAUGGAAUGAUUGGCCUGCUGGGUUUUUGACUUGCGUGGGGUCUGUAAGUCCCAUCUGUGUUUUGUGCUUCUUUCCGGCAAAUUUCUUCCUUUUGGCUGAGAAUGCUUACCCAAUGGCUGGACAAGCAUUGUACCUUGAAAGUAGUUAACUUGCUUUGUAUUUCAGAGGCUCAGGGAUAGAAGGGACUGCAGCCUUGUCUCAGAUGAGACUUUGGGCUUUGGACAUUUGAGUAAAUGCUGGAAUGAGUUAAGACUUUGGGGGACUGUAGAGAAGGCAUCACUGUAUUUUGCAAAGUGAAAGUAACAUGAGAUUUGGAAGGCCAGGGGCAGAACAAUAGGAUUUGUCUCUGUGCCCCAACCAAAACUCAUGUAGAAUUGUGAUGGGGAAUGUUAAAAGUGGUGCUUGGUAGAUGGUGAUUUAAU